UAAAUAAAUAAAAAAUAAAAAUAAAAUAAAAAAAACAAACAAAUUAUCCAAAUUAUUAACAAUAUACGUAUUUAUUUCUUUAUUUUGAACCUUUUUUUUCUUAUUUUCUCGGGUGUUUUUAUUCUUGGUCAUAACUGUUUACGGCUCGAGCUGAUGACGUCAUAUGGACUUUGACUCAGGAAGUGCGCGUUGACAGAAGGAAUCCCGGCAGCUGAUUGGCUACUUGAGGUGAAAUGACGCGACAGGGGGAUCCUCUCUGUAAAACCCAGUAAACAGCAGCUUAAUAUCAUUCAGUUGAGUAAGAUCUGAGCACAGUGAGGACACACAGGGUGUGAAGGCAGCAUGGAUCUCCAUGGAAACCAAACAAACCAGUCAGGGUGCAAUAAGCCCAUUCAUGAAGAUCUGAAACCCAUUGCACGACUUUAUCCAUCACUGCCAAAUGAACACGGUUCUGACACGUGCUUGGCUGGAGCAGAGCGUGAUCCAGGAGCAGAGCUCCAUCCUGUGACUGUGCAGGAAGACAAUAAGCUGAAGAAUUCUUCCUGCUGUGCUGGUUUCAGUUUGAAAGCACAAGUCGUUUUCCUGAAGGAGCAAAGAAAACAGCUCCUGUCAAUUAAUGAGAAAUGGGCAAAAGAGUAUCGGACCAUGGUGCACUAUUACAAAAAGAAGCUACAGAUUUCACAAACACUAAAGCCGGAUCAGUUCAUGGAGAGCAAAGCCAAGAUCAGCACAGAUGAGACGAAUUUAAAGACUGAAGGUGAGGACUGUGAUGCUGAUCUACUAAAAAUACAGACGGAAGCCAAACAGUUACGAUUGCAAAACAGGACGCUGACUCACAGAGGGCAGCAUCAGAGAGAAGAGAUUGAUCGACUAAACAAGGCUUUGGCAGCAGCAUUACAGACAGCACAACCUGUUAUGAUGAGCAGCGAAAUACACCCAGACAUCUGGAAACAUCAGGCAGAAGUUUACAAGGAAGACUUCCUCAGAGAACGCAAAGACAGGGAGAACCUUAAGCAGAAGUAUUUUGAGCUUGAGAGAAGGUUCAGCAAGACUUGCAAAGAGCUGCACAUCUUCAAAUCUCAGAUGAAUAAUACUCAGCAACCUGUAGCAGGCGAUCAGUGUCUCUGCAGGGAUGGAGACACACAUUCUUAAUGGAUGGUUGACAAUGGUAACCAGCUCUGAGCCCUGGUACAAAGACGCUUCACACACUGGAUACCAAACACACUCCGUCCUUUCACGAGCCUGACCCUUUCGGAUCCUUUCAAAGCGUGGGCGUAGACUACGUCACUUCCUUCACUCGCCAUCUUCACGACAGAGUUCCCGGGACGUGGUAUUUCAAUGUAAACCGACCAUACGAUGUUUGUUAAAUAUUUUAAUAGUACACAAUGUGUACACGUGUUAAUAUCUGACUGUUUUUGUGGUGUUUUUUAAUUAAUUUUAAAAAAAAAAAGACAAAAAGGAAAAACCACCGCAAGACAAUAUAUACAAAAAUGCAUCAAAACACAAUACACAACAUUGACAAUCAAAAACCAAACAGGAAAUAAAAUAAAAACCAAAAUAAAUCGGAAUUCA
ensembl:lncRNA TNFAIP3-interacting protein 3-like